AUUACACAUUACCGUGGUGUUGCGUUUUAUCUAAUAGAUCGACCGGUUAUCCGACGGAUGUAUAUUAUCGAUUCCGGGCAGAGUCAGGAAUGGAUACGGUUUUACGAUAAAAUGUGUGUUUGUUUGUUUACGUCUGCAAGCGACUUUGCUGCGUUAUAAAAAAGUACGGGAAAAACUGACAAAUAUCUACGACGGCGAAACGAUUCGAUUAGUUUAAAUUUGUUUCUAUUUUUGUUUUAAAUCAUACGCA